UGGGAACCUGUCCAUCUGCCUGGGGACAAACCUCCUUAGCCCACCCCUUGAGCUGCCCCUGGAUGUCCUGGCGCAGGAGACGGGCAAGGUGACCCAGCUCGUGCAGUUCCCCAUCAAACACCAGGAGGAACUCCUUGGGGAGGAGGUGGCUGGGCUGGCCAGCGAGGGGGCCCAGGAGCCACCAGCACCGCCAGUAGAGGCAGAAACAGCAGAGGUUUGUGAAGUGCACAAAGAGCAUGACAGCAAAAGCCUUCCCCCUCAGAAGGUGGGGCUGCUGCUGCAGGGACAAGCAUGGUCAGCCACCAGCCUGCAGCUCUGCCAAAGUGCAAAGCAAGGCAGAUGCAAGUCGGCCAUCCUGCUUUGGGCAGUGGUGCCAUAGCUGGCUCAGCUGAGCUGAGCAAAGCCAUCCAAGGGCUGUGCCUUUCAGAGCUAAGGCAGCAAUUGAGCAGGGAGGUCAUUGCCCCCUGCUAACUUACACAUUUCCAUUGCAGGUGCCUCCUUUUGCUCCUGAAAGCGAGCAACGGAAUAGCUUUUGGGGGGAGAAAAGUUAAGACUGCUUAGCUCUGCUUGCUUCAAGGUAAUCAUGGCUUCAGCUGUCUAGCAAUACUGUUGAAUGGAAAGGUUGCCAGGCUCUGCAAGAGGGAACAGAAAGCAGUGAGCAGCCUCUGAAGAGGGGAGCGAUGGGCCACUGUGCACGAAGAAGAGCAGGUUGCACACCGAGCCCUUAUCAGGGAUGGGCAUCUGAAAGCAGGGGAAGAAGGAGGAGCGUGGAUGUCCAUGUACUGCUUGGACUCCCCGGAUGAGCCCUGCUGCCUGGCCUUUGGGUUCCACCAUGCGGCCCCAGCACCACCCUGGUGGCAGCGAGGACAGAGCCACGGUGUCCUUCUGCUCUGGAGGGAAGGUGCCACCACCUCACCCUGGAGCCAGAGCAGUGCCGUCAGGCCCAUCCUGGCCCUCACAGGGGGCCUUGCUGGCUCAUUCGUCAGCCCCGC